rnacentral:lncRNA from 1 species
AUGCCAUCAUCAGCAGCUGCUAUGAAGACUAUCAGGUCACAUGGACAUUUUUCCCUUUGUAAACAGACCCUCCCUGCCUGGGAAGGCAAGGGGAACUGCAAGUGGGAGUUUUUCCAAGAAGUGAGCAUUCAUGGAGCACCUGGACUUUUUCUGCUGUCAGGUGGUGCCUGGAACUUCUCUCUCUCCUCCUCCUCACCUCAGAAACCCAGACCCGAGGCUGGCCGAGGACUGCCUGUCUAAGAUGGCCACACGUCUCUCCCGAGGCCAGGCCAAGAAGACUGCCUGUCUAAGAUAGCCACACGUCUCUCCCGAGGCGAGGCCGAGGACUGCCCGUCUAAGAUGGCCACACGUCUCUCCUGAGGCCAGGCCAAGAAGACUGCCUGUCUAAGAUAGCCACACGUCUCUCCCGAGGCCAGGCCGAGGACUGCCCGUCUAAGACUGCCACACGUCUCUCCAGGGCCUGGUCUGCUUCUUGGUCUAUUUCUGCCACAGCAGUUGUUUCUUCAUCAGGGACCGUUCGGCCACCCCCACAGGGAGCAUUUGACAAUGCCUGGAGACAUUUUUGGUGUCAAAUGGGUGAGGCAGGGGGUGCUCCUGGCAUCUCUUGGGUGGAGGCUGCAGAGGCUGCUUGACAUCUAGGAUGCACAGUGCAGCCUUCGCAGAGUCGCCGGCCCCAGAUGUCGGAAGUGUGGCAGAGAGAAAAGCCCUGUGGCGUGGCCUCCGGAGCCCGUCAGGGGCAUCUUGGUGGGAGCAUAUUCACAUCACUGCCUGCUAUAUGUUGGGUGCUUAUUUUAAGUCAAAUGCUGUUCUGUACUGCUCACAUGCACUGUGCCCUCUAACUCUCACAGUCCCCUGCAGGAAGGCCCUGUAGACAGCAUCGUUUGAUGGCUGAGAGAAUGGUACUCUCCAGUACUUGGCAUAUAAUAGAUGCUCAAUAAAACAGGUCUCUGGCCUUGUGGGGUGCAAUUGCCUAGAGAAGAGGGACAGAGGGAGGUAGAAAUUUCUCGUGGAUGAGGUAUGGUUGCAGCUGACAUUGAAAAAGAACACAUCCUGCCCAGCACAGGUCUGGACAGAUGCCACCCGGACACAGCCAGGUCCAGCAGAUGCUUCUCUGGACUGGGCUUAUCUAGCUCACAGCUGUCCUAGCAGGACAGCUCCUGCCUUUUUUGGGGGGGGGGCAGCUGUGUUACUUGUGGUGGGUAUGGAAGUGCACCCCCAGAUCCCACCCCCAUGAAGAACUGAGCACGGCAGCUGCUGAGAAGCUGCUGAGAUGUCUCUCAGCAGCCAGCUGCAGCAGUCAGAACCUGUGGGCACUGACUCAGUGGUGGGGAAUGCCUUGUCUUAGGCCAUGUUCUCCUUGGGUGACCAGCAUCCACCUCUAUCUUAGCAGACUGAAGAGAGAAACUUCUGCUGGUCUUAAAGAAGUAAGUUGCUAUAUGUGAACUGCCUAUAAAGCCAAUUAUGUGGAAAGGAACUUUGGAUGCCUCUAGGACCUGAGAGAUGCCUCUGACUGACAGCAAGGAGCUGGGAAAAGAAAUAAAUGCCACCCAGAGCAGGAAGGAACUUGGAAGCAGAUUCUUCCAUAGUCAAGCCUCUGGAUGAGAAUGUAGCCCAGUCAACACCUUGAUUGCAGCCUGUGAUACCCUGUGUAAAGGAUUCAUCUAAGUCAUGCCUAGACACUUGACCCAUGGAAACUGAGAUAAUAAAUAUGUGUUGUCUCAAGACACUAAGUUUGUGGUAAUUUGUUAUGCAAUAAUAAAACAGUAAUUAUUACCAGUAAUAAAGAAAGUAAAUGCUGCAUGUACACCAGCAGACGUUCAAUGGAUGGUAUGUUCAUCUAUCCAUCCAUCCAUCUGUCCAUCCAUCCAUCCUCCUCCCUCCCUCCCUCUCUCCUUCCUUCCUUCCUUCCUUCCUUCCUUCCUUCCUUCCUUCCUUCCUUCCUUCCUUCCUUCCUUUCCUUCCUUCCAAUUCAGCCACCCAUCGUGUAGAGUGAGGGAUAUCACAAGGAAGUUCUGUACCUUGCAAAAGUGCUGGUGCUUUGACCAGCUGAGUCUGGAAUCCUAGCGGUGAAUGUCUGGAAUCCUAGUGGUGAAUGGGAUUCUUCUCAGGAUGUCCUUUAUCUGUACUUAUUAGCACAGAGUAAACAUUGACCAUCUUUGAGAAGGCACUGAAAAUCUUUUUGUUUAAUUUUUUUGAGCCAACCUUAUUGACCAAGAGGCACUGAAUAUCUUGCCAUCUAAGUC